rnacentral:rRNA from 1 species
AUGGUGCGCGCGCUCUCGCCUUCUUCCCUCGUCGCCCCCUCCUCCUUCUACACCCUGCUGCUGCUCGUGGUGGCCACGCUGCUCGGGCAGCACCCGGAGGGGCCGCUGCGGGUGGCGACGGCGCAGACCACGCCGGCGCCGGUGCCGGUCCGCGUCGGGCUGAUCCUGGACUGGGCGACCAAGGUGUCGUUGGCGGUGUCGCUGAGGCGGCGGACCGGCAUUCAGAUGGCCGUAGAGGACUACUACGCGGCGCACCCGGGGUCGGCCACCAGGGUGGAGCUCCACUUCAGCGACUCCAAAGGGGACGUCGUCGGCGACGCCUCCGCCGCGCUGGACCUGAUCAAGAACGCGCAGGUGCAGGCCAUCAUCGGGCCCAAGACGUCGGCGGAGGCAGAGUUCGUUGCCCAACUCGGCAGCCGCGCCCACGUCCCCGUGCUUUCCUACUCCGCCACCUCCCCGUCCAUCUCCCCGACGCAGACGCCCUACUUCGUGCGCACCGCUGCCAACGACUCCUUCCAGGCCACCCCCGUCGCCUCCGUCCUCGCAAGCUUCGGGUGGCGAGAGGUGGCCGUCCUGCACGAGGACUCCCCCUACGGCGCCGGCAUUCUCCCAGCGCUCGCCGACGCGCUCCAGAGCGUCCACAGUGCGGCGAUCAUGGUCGUGGACCGCGUGCCCGUUCCGAGCGGCGCGGACGAAGAUGCCCUUGACGCGCUCCUCUAUCGCCUCAAGGCGAUGCCGACGCGUGUGUUCAUCGUGCACGCCUCGCACAGCCUCGCCGCGCAGCUCUUCCGGCGGGCCAGCAAAGCCGGGAUGAUGUCCGACGGCUACGCCUGGGUCGCCACCGACGGCGUAGGCAACUUCGUGGACAGGUUCGACCCCGAGGACCUAGACUUCAUGCAGGGCGUCGUCAGCCUCCGUCCUCACGUGAAGUACACGAACCAAGUCAAGAACUUCUCUGCGCGGUUCAGGGCGAGGUACCGGAGGGAGAACCCGGCCUCCAACGAUGACGUCCUCAACGACGCCACUGUGACGGGGCUCUGGUCGUACGACACGGCGUGGGCGAUAGCCGUGGCAGCCGAGGCGGCCAGCGUCCCCGGCCCAGCAUUUCGGACACCGCAGAAUAGCACGGCACGUACAGACCUCGACCAGCUCGGCGUGUCGACCACCGGAGAAGCGCUUCUUAGGGCGAUUCUCAACACGACGUUCGACGGGAUGGCAGGCAGGUUCAAGCUGGUGGACGGGCAGCUGCAGGUCGCCGCGUACGAGGUCGUGAACAUCAUCGGGAACGGCGCGGUGACGGUGGGGUUCUGGACGCCGGAGUCCGGCAUCUCGCGGGACCUCAAAGACGGCAGCGGCAACGCUGCGCGGCAGCUGAAACCCAUCUUUUGGCCGGGCGAGAUGUUGUCCCCGCCGAGAGGCUGGACGGCGUCGCAGAACGGGCGGGUGCUCAGGGUCGCCGUGCCGGUGAAGCACGGGUUCACGCAGUUCGUGGGCGUCGUCAUCUCCGACAACUCGACGAAGCCGAAGAUCACCGGGUACUGCAUCGACGUGUUCAACGAGGUGAUGAAGAACCUGUCCUACCCGGUGAGCUACCAGUACAUGCCGUUCCCCGACAGCCCGGACUCGUACGAGAUGCUGGUGGACCAGGUGAGCGAGAGGAAGGCGGACAUUGUGGUCGGGGACGUGACGAUCACGGCGAGCAGGAUGGAGGAGCUGGACUUCACGAUGCCGUUCACGGAGUCCGGGUGGGCAAUGGUGGUGGCCACGGAGCCGGACACGAGCGGCAGCAUGUGGAUCUUCCUGCAGCCGCUCACCACCAGCCUUUGGCUCGCCAGCCUCGCCUUCUUCUGCUUCACCGGCUUUGUCGUGUGGGUCAUCGAGCACCGCGUCAACCCGGAGUUCCGCGGCACGCCGUCGCAGCAGUUCGGCCUCAUCUUCUACUUCGCCUUCUCAACGCUCGUCUUCGCACACAAGGAGAAGCUGGAGAGCAACCUAUCGAGGUUCGUGGUGAUCAUAUGGGUGUUCGUGGUGCUGAUCCUGACAUCGAGCUACACAGCGAGCCUGACGUCGAUGCUGACGGUGCAGCAACUCCGACCGACAGUGACAGACGUGAAGGAGCUCCAGAGGCGCGGUCAGUACAUCGGGUACCAAGAGGGCACCUUCAUCAAGCCAAGGCUCAAGAAGAUGGGCUUCGACGAGCGAAAGAUGAGAAAGUACAGCUCGGAGGAGCAGUACGCCGAAGCGCUGUCCAAGGGCUCGGCCAAAGGCGGCGUGGACGCGGUGUUUGACGAGAUCCCGUACCUGAAGCUAUUCCUGUCACAGCACUGCGACGGGUACAUGCAGGUGGGGCCUGUGUACAAGACGGACGGCUUCGGGUUCGUCUUCCCAAGGGGGUCGCCCAUGACAGGGGACGUGUCGCGGGGGAUCCUCAACCUGGCCGAGGGGGACACGAUGGCGCAGAUCGAGAAGGCGUGGUUCGGCGAGCCCGGCACUUGCCAGAAUGCGCUGGGCGGCAUCGGCGGCGGCGGCGGCUCGUCGAACCUCAGCUUCUGGAGCUUCGGCGGGCUGUUCCUCAUCACCGGCGUCGUCUCCAGCCUCAUGCUGCUGCUCUACCUCGCCAUCUUCGCGUACCGCGAGCGUGAGGAGCUCCGGGAGGCGGAGGCGAAGGCUGAGGCUGAGGCCGGCUCUGGGAGCGUUUCGGUGCGAAGGCUGCGUGCGUGGCUGCAACACUUCGAUAGGAAGGACCUCAAGUCACCCACCUUCAAGGUGUGGAACGACGAGUCCGUCAGAAACGGCAGCGAGUUUGCGGGUAGGACGCCAAGAUGGAAUGGCAGUGGCGGCGAUGCUAGUAUGACGCCGAGGGCCGGUGGGGAGGAACACGCCAUGAGAGGGACGACCCCGCUAAGCCUGUACAUCAGCUCCGAGAUGGACGCCGGCUCUUCGCCAGAGGGGACGCCAAUGUCGGAGAUCAGUGAGUCAUUCGAGCAAAGGAUCGAGGGGGCAGCAGCCGCAAUGGAGGUGACAAGGCCAACGGCCUCUCAAUUACAACAGUAG